rnacentral:rRNA from 1 species
AUUGAACGCUGGCGGCAUGCUUUACACAUGCAAGUCGAACGGUAACAGGCCGCAAGGUGCUGACGAGUGGCGAACGGGUGAGUAAUGCAUCGGAACGUGCCCAGUCGUGGGGGAUAACUACUCGCAAGAGUAGCUAAUACCGCAUACGAUCUAUGGAUGAAAGCGGGGUACCGUAAGGCCUCGCGCGAUUUGAGCGGCCGCUGUCAGAUUAGGUAGUUGGUGGGGUAAAGGCUCACCAAGCCAACGAUCUGUAGCUGGUCUGAGAGGACGACCAGCCACACUGGGACUGAGACACGGCCCAGACUCCUACGGGAGGCAGCAGUGGGGAAUUUUGGACAAUGGGCGCAAGCCUGAUCCAGCAAUGCCGCGUGCAGGAAGAAGGCCUUCGGGUUGUAAACUGCUUUUGUACGGAACGAAACGGCUCUGGUUAAUACCCGGGGCUAAUGACGGUACCGUAAGAAUAAGCACCGGCUAACUACGUG